GUUGGUGACCAGCGGAGGGAUCAUUACCGAGUUUACAACUCCCAAACCCCUGUGAACAUACCUAUACGUUGCCUCGGCGGAUCAGCCCGCGCCCCGUAAAACGGGACGGCCCGCCCGAGGACCCCUAAACUCUGUUUUUAGUGGAACUUCUGAGUAAAACAAACAAAUAAAUCAAAACUUUCAACAACGGAUCUCUUGGUUCUGGCAUCGAUGAAGAACGCAGCAAAAUGCGAUAAGUAAUGUGAAUUGCAGAAUUCAGUGAAUCAUCGAAUCUUUGAACGCACAUUGCGCCCGCCAGUAUUCUGGCGGGCAUGCCUGUUCGAGCGUCAUUUCAACCCUCAAGCUCAGCUUGGUGUUGGGACUCGCGGUAACCCGCGUUCCCCAAAUCGAUUGGCGGUCACGUCGAGCUUCCAUAGCGUAGUAAUCAUACACCUCGUUACUGGUAAUCGUCGCGGCCACGCCGUUAAACCCCAACUUCUGAAUGUUGACCUCGGAUCAGGUAGGAAUACCCGCUGAACUUAAGCAUAUCAAUAGCCGGGAGGAA
rnacentral:rRNA from 1 species